rfam:Virgibacillus massiliensis genome assembly, contig: 000002
ACCUUUUAAUCGCUUAAUCUCAAUGAGCGGGGGAACCAUUUUUUGAUAAGAUGAAAUACUUAUCUAGGGGUGAAUCUUACUUGCUAGUAAGAUGGGAUACUCUCAGUCCCUAAUCCGACAGCUAACCCCGUAAGCGUCCAUAAACACGAGAG